CCUACGGGAGGCAGCAGUGAGGAAUAUUGGUCAAUGGACGAGAGUCUGAACCAGCCAAGUAGCGUGAAGGAUGACUGCCCUAUGGGUUGUAAACUUCUUUUAUAAGGGAAUAAAACGAGGCACGUGUGCCUUUUUGCAUGUACUUUAUGAAUAAGGAUCGGCUAACUCCGUGCCAGCAGCCGCGGUAAUACGGAGGAUCCGAGCGUUAUCCGGAUUUAUUGGGUUUAAAGGGAGCGUAGAUGGGUUGUUAAGUCAGUUGUGAAAGUUUGCGGCUCAACCGUAAAAUUGCAAUUGAUACUGGCAGUCGUGAGUACAGUUGAGGUAGGCGGAAUUCGUGGUGUAGCGGUGAAAUGCUUAGAUAUCACGAAGAACCCCGAUUGCGAAGGCAGCUUACUAAACUGUGACUGACAUUGAGGCUCGAAAGUGUGGGUAUCAAACAGGAUUAGAUACCCCAGUAGUC
rnacentral:rRNA from 1 species